rfam:Triticum aestivum genome assembly, contig: Triticum_aestivum_CS42_TGACv1_scaffold_224519_3B
UAUAUACUCCCUCCGUUCGGAAUUACUUGUCUCAAAAAUGGAUGUAUCUAGAACUAAAAUAAGUCUAGAUACAUCCAUUUUUGCGACAAGUAAUUCCGAACGGAGGAAGUGCAUG